CGAAUUUGCUUCAGAAAACGCAAGAAAUGCAGUCAUCGAGCUUCAAGAAUAGCACAAUCGCCUGGCGGAGAACCCCCACACACCCCUAUCAUCCAAUAAAUAGAAAACAUGAUUAGGCAAAGUUCAACUCCCGAUGUUUUGCAAACAUCUCUUAGUAUAUAUCAAUUCAAAAGUGCCCUUUCACGAAAAUCUGCCCCCCCCCCUUGCCUUCACAUCGUUCCGGCGUCCCUGAAUAUA